UACAGAGGUCUCAAGCGUUGUUCGGAUUCAUUGGGCGUAAAGGGUUUGUAGGCGGCCUUGUAAGUCAGGUGUGAAAUCCCUCGGCUCAACCGAGGAAUGGCGCUUGAUACUGCAAGGCUUGAGGGAGACAGGGGUAAGCGGAACUGAUGGUGGAGCGGUGAAAUGCGUUGAUAUCAUCAGGAACACCGGAGGCGAAAGCGGUGCACUGGGGUUGGUCUGACGCUGAGGCACGAAAGCCAGGGAGACGAAGCGGG
rnacentral:rRNA from 1 species